rnacentral:rRNA from 1 species
GAUGAACGCUGGCGGCAUGCCUAAUACAUGCAAGUCGAACGAACGGACGAGAAGCUUGCUUCUCUGAUUUUAGCGGCGGACGGGUGAUUAACACGUGGAUAACCUACCUAUAAGACUGGGAUAACUUCGCGAAACCGUAGCUAAUACCGGAUAAUAUUUUGAACCGCAUGGUUCAAAAGUGAAAUACGGUCUUGCUGUCACUUAUAGAUGGAUCCGCGCUGCAUUAGCUAGUUGGUAAGGUAACGGCUUACCAAGGCAACGAUGCAUAGCCGACCUGAGAGGGUGAUCGGCCACACUGGAACUGAGGCAGAGUCCAGACUCCUAGGGGAGGCAGCAGUAGGGAAUCUUACGCGAUGGGCGAAAGCCUAACGGAGGAAAGCGGGGUGAGUGAUGAAGGUCUACGGAUCGUAAAACUCUGUUAGUAGGGAAGAAGAAAUGUGUAAGUAACUGUGAAGAUCAUGACGGUACCGAAAGAGAAAGCCCCGGCUAACUACGUG